UACGAGGGGAGCUAGCGUUGUUCGGAAUUACUGGGCGUAAAGGGCGUGUAGGUGGUACCAUAAGUCAGAUGUGAAAGCCCUGGGCUUAACCUAGGAUGUGCAUUUGAUACUGUGGAACUAGAGAUCGAGAGAGGAAAGUGGAAUUACGAGUGUAGAGGUGAAAUUCGUAGAUAUUCGUAAGAACACCAGUGGCGAAGGCGACUUUCUGGCUCGAUACUGACGCUAAGGCGCGAAAGCGUGGGGAGCAAACAGG
rnacentral:rRNA from 1 species